rnacentral:rRNA from 1 species
AGCAGCCGCGGUAAUUCCAGCUCCAAUAGCGUAUAUUAAAGUUGUUGCAGUUAAAAAGCUCGUAGUUGAAUUUCGGGGUCAGUAAGUUGGUCGUGCCACUGGUAUGUACUGGCUUUAUUGAUUCCUCCUUCUUGUAGAACCGUAAUGCCAUUAAGUUGGUGUUGCGGGAAAACAGGACUGUUACUUUGAAAAAAUUAGAGUGUUUAAAGCAAGCUAACGCUUGAAUACAUUAGCAUGGAAUAAUGAAAUAGGACGUUCGAUCCUAUUUUGUUGGUUUCUAGGAUUGACGUAAUGAUUAAUAGGGAUAGUUGGGGGCAUUAGUAUUCAAUUGUCAGAGGUGAAAUUCUUGGAUUUAUUGAAGACUAACUACUGCGAAAGCAUUUGCCAAGGAUGUUUUCAUUAAUCAAGAACGAAAGUUAGGGGAUCGAAGACGAUCAGAUACCGUCGUAGUCUUAACCAUAAACUAUGCCGACUAGGGAUCGGAUGAUGUUAAUUUUUUUAAUGACUCAUUCAGCGCCUU